GUGGGGAAUAUUGGACAAUGGGGGCUACCCUGAUCCAGCCAUGCCGCGUGAGUGAUGACGGCCUUCGGGUUGUAAAGCUCUUUUACAUGGGAAGAUAAUGACGGUACCAUGAGAAUAAGCACCGGCAAACUUCGUGCCAGCAGCCGCGGUAAUACGAAGGGUGCAAGCGUUGUUCGGAAUUACUGGGUGUACAGGGCGUGUAGGCGGAUUAGUUAGUUAGUGGUGAAAUCCUUGGGCUCAACCUGAGAACUGCCAUUGAUACAGCUAGUCUGGAGUAUUAGAGAGGAUGACGGAAUAUCCAGUGUAGAGGUGAAAUUCGUAGAUAUUGGAUAGAACACCGGUGGCGAAGGCGGUCAUCUGGCUAAUUACUGACGCUGAGGCGCGAGAGCGUGGGGAGCAAACAGGAUUAGAUACCCGAGUAGUCC
rnacentral:rRNA from 1 species